rnacentral:rRNA from 1 species
GUCCACGCUGUAAACGAUGGGCACUAGGUGUCCGGGGUAUUGACCCCCUGGGUGCCGCAGCUAACGCAUUAAGUGCCCCGCCUGGGGAGUACGGUCGCAAGAUUAAAACUCAAAGGAAUUGACGGGGGCCCGCACAAGCGGUGGAGCAUGUGGUUCAAUUCGACGCAACGCGAAGAACCUUACCUGGGCUAGACAACAGUGGACCGUCCUAGAAAUAGGAUUUUCCCUUCGGGGACCGCUGGUUCAGGUGCUGCAUGGCUGUCGU